rnacentral:rRNA from 1 species
UGCAGUCGAGCGAUGAAGCACCUUCGGGUGUGAAUUAGCGGCGAACGGGUGAGGAACACGUGAAGAAUCUGCCUUCAACUCUGGGAUAACUCCGGGAAACCGGGGCUAAUACCGGAUAUGAGCCUUGAUCGCAUGAUCGGGGCUGGAAAGUUUUUCGGUUGAAGAUGACUUCGCGGCCUAUCAGCUUGUUGGUGAGGUAAUGGCUCACCAAGGCGACGACGGGUAGCCGGCCUGAGAGGGCGACCGGCCACACUGGGACUGAGACACGGCCCAGACUCCUACGGGAGGCAGCAGUGGGGAAUAUUGGGCAAUGGAGGAAACUCUGACCCAGCGACGCCGCGUGAGGGAUGAAGGCCUUCGGGUUGUAAACCUCUUUCAGUAGGGAAGAAGCGAAAGUGACGGUACCUACAGAAGAAGCACCGGCUAACUAUGUGCCAGCAGCCGCGGUAAUACAUAGGGUGCAAGCGUUGUCCGGAAUUAUUGGGCGUAAAGAGCUCGUAGGUGGUUCGAUACGUCGGAUGUGAAAAUCAGGGGCUCAACCCCUGACCUGCAUCCGAUACGGUCGAGCUAGAGUUUGGUAGGGGAGACUGGAAUUCCUGGUGUAGCGGUGGAAUGCGCAGAUAUCAGGAGGAACACCGAUGGCGAAGGCAGGUCUCUGGGCCAAUACUGACACUGAGGAGCGAAAGCGUGGGGAGCGAACAGGAUUAGAUACCCUGGUAGUCCACGCCGUAAACGGUGGGCGCUAGUUGUGCGAACCUUCCACGGUUUGUGCGACGCAGCUA